CCUUCGGGGCAGGGUGAAAUUCCCUACCGACGGUGAUGGCGCAUCGGAUGGUUAUCCGGUGUAGCACAAGUCCGUGACCCGCCAGCGCUCUAACAGCGUUUGCGGCUGAGCCGGUGAGAUUCCGGGACCGACAGUAUAGUCUGGAUGGGAGAAGGA
rnacentral:ncRNA from 1 species